rnacentral:rRNA from 1 species
UACAGAGGGGGCAAGCGUUAUUCGGAAUUAUUGGGCGUAAAGGGCGCGUAGGCGGCUUUGCAAGUGACGGGUGAAAGCCCUCGGCUUAACCCCGGAAUUGCACCUCAAACUACAUGGCUAGAGCAUUGGAGAGGGUAGCGGAAUUCACGGUGUAGCAGUGAAAUGCGUAGAUAUCGUGAGGAACACCAGAGGCGAAGGCGGCUACCUGGACAAUUGCUGACACUCAGGCACGAAAGCGUGGGGAGCAAAAGGG